CAAAGGCAGGCGCCAAACCACUGUGCCACCCAGGGAUCCCGCCUUUUUAAUAGUCCAAGUUCAUCAUCUUUGUCUGGGGCCAGCCCCAUCUCCAAGCUCACCGGCGGGCCCUGACUGAUCAUGCCAAUCACAGUCAGCUCUCUUACAGUGUUGGGUGGCUGGAUCUGGGAGUGAUGCCAGGAGCUCUGCAACCAUCUUGUGUCCAUGAGGAGAGUCAUCCCAGGGACAAAGCCAUCAUUCAGGGAAGGAGGCAGCAGAGCAGAUGCAGACCCCUGGAGGCCUCUCAUCAGUGCACCCUCUCCCUGGGCUUCCCACAAGGUGAAAUAAUGGACUUCCUGACCCUGUCAGGUAUUGAAGUCAGGUGCCUAGUCCUUGGGGCUGCCAGUAUCCUAAACCACCAAUCUCAUUCAGGGACAUUUAUUUCCUUUUUGGUUUUUCAAAUUUAUAAACCAGUUGCUUCAAUAAAUGCCUUUGUAAAUAAAACUUUUUCUGUAACACGUAGCCUCAGAUGGAUGCCCAGAAGUGGAGUGACAGGAUGAGAAGGCAUUAAUUUUUAAAGUUGCUUGAUUCAUAUUUUCACUUGCCUUCCUGUUGGCGGCUCUACAGGCUUAAUCGGUCUCUCAGCCAGAAAGCAGGGGGACAGGGGUUUGAACCAAGGUCUUCCGAUAUCACAUCCAAAGCUAGAUAUUAAA